UACGUAGGGUGCAAGCGUUAAUCGGAAUUACUGGGCGUAAAGCGUGCGCAGGCGGUGAUGUAAGACAGGUGUGAAAUCCCCGGGCUUAACCUGGGAACUGCAUUUGUGACUGCAUAGCUAGAGUACGGCAGAGGGGGAUGGAAUUCCGCGUGUAGCAGUGAAAUGCGUAGAUAUCUGGAGGAAUACCGGUGGCGAAGGCGGCAUCCUGGACCGACAUUGACGCUGAGGAGCGAAAGCCAGGGGAGCAAACGGG
rnacentral:rRNA from 1 species